CAGAGCUGUGGGUGUUGCAGGGUAAGCUUUCAAGCCUGGCCUUCUGGUAUACUUAGCCCAGCGUGCAGACGGACAGAUCACAACAGCCUUCACAAGAACAAAGCACGUCUGGAAAUCCAUAAACAGCCAGCCAGCAAGAUCUUUCCUCCUCUCUCUGCAGGUCCAAUACAUAAAGCUAAUGAAGAUGAUCAUCACAAUCUAUCCACACUGACAGUAAUGCCUCUGUACCCACUGACCUUUAGGAACAUGCUAGUUUGCCUCAUAACAAGUCUGUAUGGAAACCCAAGCACACAGAGACAGCCACUGGCACAUUCACAGCUCCCUUCCCCUCAUCUGAUGACAAGAGAACAGGAAGGAAAGCUGUAUCCAUGGGGAGAUGAUCUGCUUUAACCCUGAUAUGAAUCAACUAAUUUUGCAAUUGUUUAGUUGAUUCAUGCAUCGUGUGUGUUAUAAUCACAACAAAUCCACCGUACCCAUGGUUCUAAAUAGUCUAACUCAAUUUUAGAGUCAAAAACGUGUGCUUGAUACAGUCUGUGAAUUGAUUAGCGUUGAAGUGCUAAAAUGCAUUUUAGAUUUGUAGGCGCACACUAAAAGCUGAGAUCGAAGUCAAUAAAUAAAUAAAUAAUCAUACUGCCAGUGGCCUCAAAGCCUUUAGCAUAUGAUGAUGAUUUAGAUUGAUUAUUGUAGAUAAAAACAAUCUAAAUCACACUUUGUAUUCUACAUUUGAUCAAUCCAAUCAAAUUGCAUCUUCGCAGAUAAAUCACUUUAAACUGAAUAUUUUAUCAGAAUACCAUUCAAAACCUAUAUGGUUUUCUUUUUUUUUUCUCAGUGGGAAAAAUGUUUCCAGGUACAACAAAAUCCCUGCUUGUCAAAUCUGCUAUUUUCCAGUUCAGUUGCAAUUUUGCUUGGUUUAUUAAGAAAAUUAUAAACAAGAUUAGGAUUUGAAGCCAGGUCCCCUUGCACGCUAAUUGAAAAAGUGUUUUACUAAAAUAUCUUACAUUUCAAUAAUAUAAUACUAAGAUGUUAUCGUGCCUCA
ensembl:lncRNA